ACCAUUUUGACAGGAUGUGUAGACUUUGAUACAAGUAUGAAUAUCAGAUAUGGAGGCAUCUGUGAAAUUAACGUUUAUGGCCAAACAUUUGGAAUUUCUGACAUUUUGUUAUAAAUUUCCAUUACUGAUAGAAAUUUUAAAAUUCCAAGGUAGCUCACAGAAAAAAACUAGUUGUAUGGUUGAAACGUACACAAAAAACUGUCUAUAGAACAUUAAAGCGUUUUUUAUUUU